CAGAGUUCUUUAACAAGACUCCCAAACCAUUGUGAACAUACCCGUCACCGUUGCUUCGGCGUGGCGUCCCCUCCCGGGGGGACAGCAGCCCCUCGGGGUGCCCGCCGGUGCGUACGAAACUCUUUUGUAUUCUAGUGGCCUCUCUGAGAAAACAAACAAAUAAGUUA
rnacentral:misc_RNA from 1 species